UUAGGCUGAUGCAAAAGUAAUUGUGGUUUUUGCCAUUCAAAGCAAUGGCAAAGACCCCAAUUACUUUUGCACCAACCU
rnacentral:miRNA from 1 species